rnacentral:rRNA from 1 species
CGCCAGACUCCUACGGGAGGCAGCAGUGGGGAAUAUUGGGCAAUGGGCGCAAGCCUGACCCAGCAACGCCGCGUGAAGGAAGAAGGCUUUCGGGUUGUAAACUUCUUUUGACAGGGAAGAGUAGAAGACGGUACCUGUCGAAUAAGCCACGGCUAACUACGUGCCAGCAGCCGCGGUAAUACGUAGGUGGCAAGCGUUGUCCGGAUUUACUGGGUGUAAAGGGCGUGUAGCCGGGUUGACAAGUCAGAUGUGAAAUCCCGCGGCUUAACCGCAGAACUGCAUUUGAAACUGUAGGUCUUGAGUAUCGGAGAGGCAGGCGGAAUUCCUAGUGUAGCGGUGAAAUGCGUAGAUAUUAGGAGGAACACCAGUGGCGAAGGCGGCCUGCUGGACGACAACUGACGGUGAGGCGCGAAAGCGUGGGGAGCAAACAGGAUUAGAUACCCCGGUAC